rnacentral:rRNA from 1 species
UACGUAGGGUGCGAGCGUUGUCCGGAAUUAUUGGGCGUAAAGAGCUCGUAGGCGGUCUGUCGCGUCGGUCGUGAAAACUUGGGGCUUAACCCCGAGCUUGCGGUCGAUACGGGCAUGACUGGAGUUCGGCAGGGGAGACUGGAAUUCCUGGUGUAGCGGUGAAAUGCGCAGAUAUCAGGAGGAACACCGGUGGCGAAGGCGGGUCUCUGGGCCGAUACUGACGCUGAGGUACGAAAGCUAGGGGAGCGAACGGG